AAACACAUCCCUUACGGGGUCUUGGGACCCGCCUCCGGGCGGUCCUUAAAAUCAGUGGCGGUGCCGUCUGGCUCUAAGCGUAGUAAUUAUCCUCGCUAUAGAUGUCAGGUGGUUGCUUGCCAACAACCCCUAAUUUUCAAC
rnacentral:misc_RNA from 1 species